UGCAGUAAGCAAAAAUUCAAUGACCCCGACGAGAAUUGAACUCGCAACCUUCUGAUCUGGAGUCAGACGCGCUACCAUUGCGCCACGGAGUCAUAUGAAAUCAGUGCAACAAAUUUAUCUAUUUAACGCACAGCCAGUAGCUCAUUAUGAAUACAAUCUCGCCCCUUGUACCUAUAUUUCGAUCGAUUUCAUCAAUAUUGGUACUUUGUACUUUCCAUAACUUUCCACCCUUUUUUAUUUCUCCCUAAUCCCUAGUUUCUUUCCUACUUUCUAUCUUAUUAUUUAUUAAGUUCUUUGUUCUUUCUUUUUUUCUUAUUAUUAUUAUUUAUUCUUCUUUUCCUGUCGCUUUUUCAUUCAUUCUUUUCAUUAUAAUUUAUAUCCUUUUCUUUCUCCCGUAAUUAUUCACCUCCAUCCAUUUUGAUUUAUUGAAUCAUUUUGUUUUCAAAUUUAACGCUUUUCAGGCCCGGUCAGGAAUUUCGGGUAUAUUGGUAUCUAAACCAUUUUACAUUUGGAAAAACAGUAUUGUAUUGUUAUAUAGGGGUAAAGUAACCUAGAUAUACUAUACUGAUACAGUAUAUUUAGCAACCAUUAUGAGAACUUUGGUAACCUCCCCUGGUUAAAAGUUUUAGUAAACACCUAAAAGUUAUUUUCAUAAUUCGUCACAACACCCUGGAAUUUUCUAACUGACCACGGCUGUAAUUGAUUUUUAAUUAAAUUGACCAACACUUAACCUUGAACGAUAUUUAAUAAGGCGGUAAUCAUAGCAUAUGCUAUAUUAAUUAAUCCACUUAAUUAUGUUACAGUAAUUAGGAAGCAAUGAUAGGCAUAGCACGUCUUAUGUUUAGUUAAUCCACUUAUAAAGUUAUAAUGUUAAGUUUGAAAAAAGCAUUUUCAUAGAAAAAAACCUGUUAGGCCUUAUAGGAUUGGCUGAUUAAUAAAAGGUUUCUCUAGGAUAGCCUAUACUACUUUUCAUGAGAUAAAAAUGUGGCAUUGUGAUUUGUGGGGGGAAAACAGAAAAAAU